rnacentral:rRNA from 1 species
CCUACGGGCGGCAGCAGUGAGGAAUAUUGGUCAAUGGACGAGAGUCUGAACCAGCCAAGUAGCGUGAAGGAUGACUGCCCUAUGGGUUGUAAACUUCUUUUAUAAAGUAAUAAAACGAGGCACGUGUGCCUUUUUGCAUGUACUUUAUGAAUAAGGAUCGGCUAACUCCGUGCCAGCAGCCGCGGUAAUACGGAGGAUCCGAGCGGUAUCCGGAUUUAUUGGGUUUAAAGGGCGCGUAGAUGGGUUUUUAAGGAAGUUGUGAAAGUUUGCGGCUCAACCGUAAAAUUGCAAUUGAUACUGGCAGUCGUGAGUACAGUUGAGGUAGGCGGAAUUCGUGGUGUAGCGGUGAAAUGCUUAGAUAUCACGAAGAACCCCGAUUGCGAAGGCAGCUUACUAAACUGUGACUGACAUUGAUGCUCGAAAGUGUGGGUAUCAAACAGGAUUAGAUACCCUUGUAGUC